rnacentral:tRNA from 28 species
AAAUCCGUUGGCUUUUUAGACCGUGAGGGUUCAAGUCCCUCUACCCCCA